rnacentral:rRNA from 1 species
UGCCAGCCGCCGCGGUAAUACGGAGGGUGCAAGCGUUAAUCGGAAUUACUGGGCGUAAAGCGCACGCAGGCGGUCUGUCAAGUCGGAUGUGAAAUCCCCGGGCUCAACCUGGGAACUGCAUUCGAAACUGGCAGGCUAGAGUCUUGUAGAGGGGGGUAGAAUUCCAGGUGUAGCGGUGAAAUGCGUAGAGAUCUGGAGGAAUACCGGUGGCGAAGGCGGCCCCCUGGACAAAGACUGACGCUCAGGUGCGAAAGCGUGGGGAGCAAACAGGAUUAGAUA